rnacentral:rRNA from 1 species
AACGAACGCUGGCGGCAUGCCUAACACAUGCAAGUCGAACGAGACCUUCGGGUCUAGUGGCGCACGGGUGCGUAACGCGUGGGAACCUGCCCUUAGGUUCGGAAUAACUCCCCGACAGGGGUGCUAAUACCGGAUAAUGUCUUCGGACCAAAGAUUUAUCGCCUUUGGAUGGGCCCGCGUUGGAUUAGCUAGUUGGUAGGGUAAAAGCCUACCAAGGCGACGAUCCAUAGCUGGUCUGAGAGGAUGAUCAGCCACACUGGGACUGAGACACGGCCCAGACUCCUACGGGAGGCAGCAGUGGGGAAUAUUGGACAAUGGGCGAAAGCCUGAUCCAGCAAUGCCGCUUGAGUGAUGAAGGCCUUAGGGUUGUAAAGCUCGUUUACCCGGGAUGAUAAUGACAGUACCGGGAGAAUAAGCUCCGGCUAACUCCGUG